GUGGGGUAAUGGCCUACCAAGGCUUUGACGGGUAGCCGGCCUGAGAGGGUGACCGGCCACACUGGGACUGAGACACGGCCCAGACUCCUACGGGAGGCAGCAGUGGGGAAUAUUGGACAAUGGGCGGAAGCCUGAUCCAGCAACGCCGCGUGAGGGAUGACGGCCUUCGGGUUGUAAACCUCUUUCACCAUUGACGAAGCUGCAUCUUUUUGGGUGUGGUGACGGUAGGUGGGGAAGAAGCACCGGCCAACUACGUGCCAGCAGCCGCGGUAAUACGUAGGGUGCGAGCGUUGCCCGGAAUUAUUGGGCGUAAAGGGCUCGUAGGCGGUUUGUCGCGUCGGGAGUGAAAACCUUGGGCUUAACUCAGGGCUUGCUUUCGAUACGGGCAGACUAGAGGUAUGCAGGGGAGAACGGAAUUCCUGGUGUAGCGAUGAAAUGCGCAGAUAUCAGGAGGAACACCGGUGGCGAAGGCGGUUCUCUGGGCAUGAUCUGACGCUGAGGAGCGAAAGUGUGGGGAGCGAACAGGAUUAGAUACCCUGGUAGUCCACACCGUAAACGUUGGGCGCUAGGUGUGGGAUCCAUUCCACGGGUUCCGUGCCGCAGCUAACGCAUUAAGCG
rnacentral:rRNA from 1 species